GAUGAACGCUGGCGGCGUGCCUAAUACAUGCAAGUAGAACGCUGAAGGAGGAGCUUGCUCUUCUGGAUGAGUUGCGAACGGGUGAGUAACGCGUAGGUAACCUGCCUGGUAGCGGGGGAUAACUAUUGGAAACGAUAGCUAAUACCGCAUGACAACAGUUAUUGCAUGAUAACUGUUUAAAAGGGGCAACUGCUCCACUACCAGAUGGACCUGCGUUGUAUUAGCUAGUUGGUGAGGUAACGGCUCACCAAGGCGACGAUACAUAGCCGACCUGAGAGGGUGAUCGGCCACACUGGGACUGGGACACGGCCCAGACCCCUACGGGAGGCAGCAGGAGGGAAACUUCGGCAAUGGACGGAAGGCUGACCGAGCAACGCCGCGGGAGUGAAGAAGGUUUUCGGAUCGUAAAGCUCUGUUGUAAGAGAAGAACGAGUGUGAGAGUGGAAAGUUCACGCUGUGACGGUAUCUUACCAGAAAGGGACGGCUAACUACGUG
rnacentral:rRNA from 1 species